AUUGAACGCUGGCGGCAGGCUUAACACAUGCAAGUCGAGCGGGGUGAUGGUGCUUGCACUAUCACUUAGCGGCGGACGGGUGAGUAAUGCUUAGGAAUCUGCCUAUUAGUGGGGGACAACAUCUCGAAAGGGAUGCUAAUACCGCAUACGUCCUACGGGAGAAAGCAGGGGAUCACUUGUGACCUUGCGCUAAUAGAUGAGCCUAAGUCGGAUUAGCUGGUUGGUGGGAUAAAAGCUUACCAAGCCGACGAUCUGUAGCUGGUCUGAGAGGACAACCAGCCACACUGGGACUGAGACACGGCCCAGACUCCUACGGGAGGCAGCAGUGGGGAAUUUUGGACAAUGGGCGCAAGCCUGAUCCAGCAAUGCCGCGUGCAGGAUGAAGGCCUUCGGGUUGUAAACUGCUUUUGUACGGAACGAAAAGGCUCUGGUUAAUACCUGGGGCUCGUGACGGUACCGUAAGAAUAAGCACCAGCUAACUACGUGCCAGCAGCCGCCGUAA
rnacentral:rRNA from 1 species